GUUUACGUGACCGUUUACUCCAUGGGUCUUUAGUUCUGCAAGCACCAUCAAUUUGUUUCUUAUUUGUGUUCCUUGCACCCAGCAAGUAGCUUGGCACAGAAUAUUCCUGUAUCCCGUAUUAGAUGAGACAUGUAGCAGAGAAACAACGUAAGCCAAGGCAGAAGGAAAUUGUACCCUCCUGAAGAAAACAGUCAAGUGAGAAGAAAGGGCCAUGGAUCAAAUAAUCACACAAAUAAAGGCCAACAUUUUCUAAUUCACCUUUUCACUUGGACAUCUGCUACACAAAACAUAUGGCUCUCUCUGAGAAAAUCUGGAGUCCAGAUUUUUGCAGUGAAUUACAGAGCCUGCAAAAAUUCAAGUGGAUGAGAUGACACAAGGACAUGAAUACUAAGAAAUGUGUCCCAUUGGGCUGUAGAAAAUUAUUUUACAGACUGAUUAUCACUGGUACAAUAAGGGAUACAACUACAAAAGUGUUUACUACUGUUUAUAUUAAGAGAAAACAGCAAAAAAGAAAGCAACCAGAGGAACCUGGCUGUUGUCUGAAUUAUGAGCUAUUUACAAAAUAUUAUUUUGCAAUAUUUCAAUAUGUUAUUACAGAUGUAUAUGUAGAUUUAAUAUUUAAAAUGUGGAGGAUUGCUCAUAUACUCAUUUCCAAAUAAAUGCUGGUAGAGUAUCAAAACAGGGUUUGUUUAUUUUUUUUUACAUUUUUCUUCGUUCACUUUGAACAUUUCUAUGUUGAGCAUGUAGUAAAAUAAAAAGAUGUAUUUGAAAGUCUGUUAUUCCUCUAUCAUUCAAAAAUAACUGGUUAAAAGCCUCCAAUUUACUACUUGUUUCAUUUUGAAGAA
rnacentral:lncRNA from 10 species